UCGCUGUGAUGAAGUUGAUUCCUAAGUCAUUCGUAGUUUCCACCAGAGGUUGAAAGACCAAAGAUGGCCCAAGUUAACUUCCUUGGAUGUCUGAGCGA